rnacentral:rRNA from 1 species
AUGAUUCGUGGGACGUCCUGCCGGUGGUGGCGAGUCGAAGGCGUGCAGCCUUAGUGGUUUCCACUUUGGGUCUUGUGCGCCGGAGGCGGACCCCGAUGAAAUCCUACCGCGGUGCUCUUUGCCGAGUGUCGAGGUGGGCCGGCACGUUUACUUUGUACAAAUUAGAGUGCUUAAAGCAGGCCUGUUGCGCCUGAAUACUGUGUGCAUGGAAUAAUGGAAUAGGACCUCGGUUCUAUUUUGUUGGUUUUCGGAACCCGAGGUAAUGAUUAAUAGGGACAGGCGGGGGCAUUCGUAUUGCGACGUUAGAGGUGAAAUUCUUGGAUCGUCGCAAGACGGACCGAAGCGAAAGCAUUUGCCAAGUAUGUUUUCAUUAAUCAAGAACGAAAGUUAGAGGUUCGAAGGCGAUCAGAUACCGCCCUAGUUCUAACCAUAAACGAUGCCAGCUAGCGAUCCGCCGAAGUUCCUCCGAUGACUCGGCGGGGCAGCUCCCGGGAAACCAAAGCUUUUGGGUUCCGGGGGAAGUAUGGUUGCAAAGCUGAAACUUAAAGGAAUUGACGGAAGG